CAAAUUUAUCCAAUCCUGUCCCGUAAAAGUUUGUAAAUGAAAUAUAGACCGAAAGGAUUUCGAUUCGAUAUUGUUGAAUUCCAAAAUUAAUUAAAUCCAAAAUAAUUUACAUAAAAACCAAGAGAAGAAGCCCCUGUAUCCCAUAGAAAAAUUUAUAUACACAUAAACUCUGUUAAAACUUAUUCGUCUCCUUGCUAAGUUGGUGAUCCGUUAGUAAACCUUCCCUAGAUCAAAAAAAAUCGAAAAUUAAUAAAAACCUUCAUACCUUACGAGCCUUCAACUUUUCCUGCUUUUGCAGCGAUUUACUAAUUUUGGUAUCCAACCUUUCCUCUCUCGCCUGAGCCUUCAAAGCAGCGGCCAGUUUAUCCUUAGCCUUUUUUGAAGUCUGCUUUUUGUUUUUCUUCUUUUUACUUAUGCCGUUGCUCUCUGAUCCUCCAGAUCUUAAAGCUAUGUUAGCAAUUUCUUUUGCAACUUUCUCCUUCACAGAAAGCUUUGUUUCAUUCUCAAUUGCCGUAGAACUAUCUAAAUCGUAAGCAGGGUCCGAUCUCCGAAAAUUUCUACUACGAAUUGACUGUUUUUUAG